rnacentral:rRNA from 1 species
UACGAAGGGUGCAAACGUUGCUCGGAAUUAUUGGGCGUAAAGCGCACGUAGGCGGCAUCGCAAGUCCCAUGUGAAAGCCCACGGCUUAACCGUGGAAGUGCAUGGGAAACUGCAGUGCUUGAGUACUUAAGAGGAUCGCGGAAUUCCCGGUGUAGAGGUGAAAUUCGUAGAUAUCGGGAGGAACACCAGUGGCGAAGGCGGCGAUCUGGGAAGAUACUGACGCUGAGGUGCGAAAGCGAGGGGAGCAAACGGG